ACCCCACAGGGCCCCGCACCGUCCCCAUAUCCCCUGCACGCGGUGCUGGGGCUGGGAAGAGUGGUGGGACGUUUUGGGAGCCUAUUUCUGAUUUUCCUCUGCUCUGGAGCAGCGGGAAUGGGAGCGACCACGUCCUGCCUGUGGGCUUUGCAAAGGAGGGGAUGCUUCUCCCACGGGACCUGGGCUGGGAAUGCGAAGCCUUGGGGUUUGCCAAAGCCCAGGAGGAGGUAGGGAUGAAUUCCCAGGCUUGCUGGCAAGCCCAUCUCCUCCUAUCCCAAAUGUUUUCGUCCUCCUUCCUCCUCUCCCCCACGGCUUUCUACUUGUGUCCUUGUCCUGCCCGCAGUGCCGCAGGUGUAGGGGUUUGGGAGGGUAGAGAGUGACGCAGACCCCAAAUCUGUGCUCCUUUUGGCACAGACAGGAGGGAAAGGGUGCUUUGGGACGGCUGGGGGCAGGGUGGGGGCACGCUGCGUAAAGCAGGAGCAACCCUGGAAGGGCUGCUCGUGGCCUGGAAACACCCCGGUGACUCCGGGAGCUGGGAAGGGAGAUGCAAAUCUCGAUGUAAAUAUGGGUACGGUGUCUCCCACCACUUGAUUCUCCAGUUCCUCUUCACGAACCCUGCGGAGGUGGAGGAGGGACUCGAGGAGGGGUGUUCAGACAUCGUUCUCCCUCCCUGUAGGAGCGUGGAUCCGUGUCCCACGACGCGUGGGUACAGGGAAGGCGGGAUGGGGAUGAGGAGAGCAGUCAUCCCCGGGGUGAGGGCAUUGCCACGUCCUGGUCCAAAGGACGAGGGGAGCGGGUGGAAGCAGGGCCUGGACGCCUCUUUAAUCUUAAUGAUUUUGCCUGUCCAUCCAGCCCGCGUAUUUUUGGCCACGGAAGGAAGGGGGUGGGGUGCAGAGGCGGCUAAAAAUAGGGGUGUCCCUGCCCAUUCCCCCAAGGCGGGCAUCCGUCUGUCUGCCUGCCUGCCUGCCUAAGGGGCUGCUGCGGGAUCUGGAGGAGGGGAGCAGGCCCGGGCCUCCUCCCCAAAGCGUCUGGCUCCGCUUUUGUUUGUCUCUGGGCCCUACGGGGACAGGAAGAGGCCGCGGGGCUGGGAAACAAUGGCUCAUUCUCUCGGCGUCAGCGCCUGGCCAGCAGCGAUAGGGGACGCGGGCCCCCGGCCAGGAGGAGGCACGGCCUCGGCCGCCCCGAGGAGACGCUGGAUAUGCCCUGAUGAGGAUGGAGAUGCGGAGCCGAGACCAUCCCGAGAAGCUCCCAGACGCUUCUGCCUCCUUUAGCUCCAGGCGAUGGGCGUGUGCGUGAGGGGGAGGAAUACUGGAGGAAACAUUCACUCAUUUUCCUAUCUCCACAGGCAUUUAUGUGCAUUUCCUUCCUGCCAGGAGGGCCGCUCAUCCUUUCCGGGGGGUUUAUUCCUCCCCUUCUGCAGUCACCUACACCACCGUGAAGCUGUUGGCCUGUGGUGGCUCUGAAAGGCAGCAGGGGGACGAGCAGGCGCUCAGAGCCCUUGCAGAGGCUGUUCAUAUAAACCCUGAGCUUGGUGAGAGUCAGGAGGAAAAAUAAAAGUGUCUUUUUGUGUGUGCCACCUAA